UACGUAGGGGGCUAGCGUUGUCCGGAAUCAUUGGGCGUAAAGCGCGCGUAGGCGGUCAGGUAAGUCCGGUGUGAAAGUCAUAGGCUCAACCUAUGGAUGCCGCUGGAAACUGCCUGACUUGAGUCCGGAAGAGGAGAAUGGAAUUCCUGGUGUAGCGGUGAAAUGCGCAGAUAUCAGGAGGAACACCGGUGGCGAAGGCGGCGUUCUGGACUGUCUCUGACACUGAAGAACGAAAGCCAGGGGAGCAAACGGG
rnacentral:rRNA from 1 species